rnacentral:piRNA from 1 species
UGGAUUUUGUUGCUGUCUAUUCAUCCUCU